AUUGAACGCUGGCGGCAGGCCUAACACAUGCAAGUCGAGCGGAUGAAGGGAGCUUGUUCCUGUCUUCAGCGGCCGACGGGUGAGUAAUGCCUAGGAAUCUGCCUGGUAGUGGGGGAUAACGUCCGGAAACGGGCGCUAAUCCCGCAUACGUUCUGAGGGUGAAAGUGGUGGUUCUUUGGACCUCACGCUUUUAGAUGUGCCUAGGUCGGAUUAGCUAGUUGGUGGGGUAAAGGCCUACCAAGGCGACGAUCCGUAACUGGUCUGAGAGGAUGAUCAGUCACACUGGAACUGAGACACGGUCCAGACUCCUACGGGAGGCAGCAGUAGGGAAUAUUGGGCAAUGGGCGAAAGCCUGAUCCAGCCAUGCCGCGUGAGUGAAGAAGGUCUUCGGAUUGUAAAGCACUUUAAGUAGGGAGGAAGAGAAGUAAAUGAAUACCUGGAUGUUUUGACGUUACCAACAGAAUAAGCACCGGCUAACUUCGUG
rnacentral:rRNA from 1 species